GUGGGGAAUCUUGCGCAAUGAGCGAAAGCCUGACGCAGCCAUGCCGCGUGAAUGAUGAAGGUCUUAGGAUUGUAAAAUUCUUUCACCGGGGACGAUAAUGACGGUACCCGGAGAAGAAGCUCCGGCUAACUUCGUGCCAGCAGCCGCGGUAAUACGAAGGGGGCUAGCGUUGCUCGGAAUUACUGGGCGUAAAGGGCGCGUAGGCGGACAGCUUAGUCAGAGGUGAAAGCCCAGGGCUCAACCUUGGAAUUGCCUUUGAUACUGGCUGUCUUGAGUUUGGGAGAGGGGAGUGGAACUCCGAGUGUAGAGGUGAAAUUCGUAGAUAUUCGGAAGAACACCAGUGGCGAAGGCGACUCACUGGCCCAAUACUGACGCUGAGGCGCGAAAGCGUGGGGAGCAAACAGGAUUAGAUACCCCAGUAGUCC
rnacentral:rRNA from 1 species